rnacentral:tRNA from 1 species
AAUGGAAUUUCCUCUUAAA